UUCCCUGUCAUGGUGAUGAAAGACCCCCGGAGUGGGGAGACCCUCACUCAAGUCUCGGGAUGACGCGACCCCCCAAGAACUCACACAAGACC
rnacentral:pre_miRNA from 14 species